UCUUUUUCCAUUUUUUUUAAGUAUGACCAACUUAACAUUUGCCAGUUUUCGUAUCUGAAUGUAAACCUAGACCUAUUUUGGUGGAUUCUUGAAAUGAUACCAGUAGAACGUGUGUAUUAGAACUCUAGGUUGGGUAAAGUUUGUUAUUCUGUUUAUGAAUUGAUACAAUUUGGUUCUUAAAUCUUAUUUUGUUUUCUAAAUAUUAUUAUAGUAGUGUUCCCCAUCAAAGGGCGAAGGGAGAGCACAACUUGGUGUCUCCCUUUUUUUAAUGAAAGUGUGGUUUCACGUGUAAAAUGUCAUUGCCUUUUAAGUUACUUUAUGUGUAGGUUCAUCUUCUUCAAGAAAAAAAAAUGUUAAAAGUUCUGAUCCACGGUGAGUAAAAUCUCAAGUCUCAACGCACUCAGCAUUACCGAGCGAAAUCUUUCGAUUUCUUUCAAGAAAAAUUUUGCACUUCCAAACUCAGUAUUGACAAGUGGAUGAUGCAAUGAUUGUGGUUGUUGGAUGUACCCUUCUGUUCUUAGCACUAAAAUAGGGUUGACCUUUGGGUUCAUCUUAGGAACUUCCACUUUAGUAUUACUACUGGAACUAUUUUUGGGGUCAAAAUCAUCUUUGCGCUAACCAUCCCUUGCCUCCUUCCUUCAACCAGGAGAACCACUUCCUUACACUAUUGCAAAGGUUUGAUCUAGGAUUCUAGGGGUUCGGGCAUUCCAGAGGGCUUAGUUGGUAACCGUUUAGUACUUACAUUUCUUUUGUUCAUCAGAUGUUUGUAUUAACACAGGUAACACACUAAUUUUGUUCUUCAGGUGUUUUGAUAUGGGAAUUUCUAUUGUUCAUCAGGUGUUUCGGUUUGGGAAUUUCUAUUGUUCAUCAGAUGUUUCGAUUUGGAUAUUUGAAAGACGCCUAUGGGGUGUUUGUUGAAAUGCAUGUGUAAGAUUAAUUCUUUUAGGGGCUAAUUCUGUUUCUAGAGUGUGGAAUUAAUUCUUUUGGGGGCUUAUUUUGUUUCCAGAGUGGGGAGUAAACUAUUUUUAGGAGCAAAAAUUUAUGUUUUUGUUUUAAUAAUUAGUCCCAAUACUUCCUGCAAAAAUUCCCCGUACUUGGGGUUGGAUGCUCAUUUCCAUUGCAAUAAGAGGUUGUUUAUUGCCAUUAUCCACCUUCGUUCACUCAAAAGGAGUUGAUUUCUUUCCAUAGAUUUCUGUUUUAGAUGUGAUUUAUGAAAAAUUUGUAUCUCUUAGUAGAUAUGUUUUUUUGUAUAUCAAAAACAUGUUUCAGUUCAAUUGAUGUAUUACUACUCAACCUAAUUGUUUCACAGAUUUUUUUGGUUAACAUGUUUUGUGCUAUCAAGUUUUUUUAUUGCCCAAUGUCAACUUUACAAAGUUAUGAUUUCAUUUUGUUUCUUAUUCUUCAGGUGUGAUUGAUUUUAAGACCAUGAGAGCCUCGAGGGAAUUGUUGGGUUCUAAGUCCAGAUUAUUGGUUUAGGUUGAUGGAGUAAGCUUAUGCACGAAGCACUCCUCAAAUGCUCUCACAAGGGUGUGAGCCUCCACACAAACACAAGUUGAUCCAAGGGCUGAGAUUCAUUUGAUCCAAGGGAUGAGGAAGAUUGGACUAACCAUAAGGCUUCCCCUAAUAGUUCCAUAGUUGGUCUCUCUCGAAGCAACAUAUGUAGUGGAGAUAAAGAUGGGUUCCUCUUGCAAAAGUUCAACAAACUUGUGAGGGAUUUCCAUUUGGCUGGCACCAAGGCUAGUUUUUCUCCCAAAAAGGAUGAACUAUUGGGAGAGUGAUGAAGAGAAAAUUUCAAGAUAGUUAGAAGAGUAAUGAGGAAACACUUUUGGGACAAUGAUCCUUUUAUAGAUUACAUCCUUUGUAGACAACCCGUUUUUGUUACAUUUGUGUUUGAGUUUGCCUCUUAUGGAGUCUUUUUUCUUACAACCCAUUUUUGUUACAUUUGUGUGUGAAUUUGCCUCUUAUUGAGUCUUUUUUUCGUGUCAUAUUUGAACUUGGCUCCUAUGAAUGCAACAUGGUAUUAGUUGGAUUUGGAUCCUUUCAAUGGAACUUGGUGUUUAACGAAAAAAUUGCAUGUUUUAAAA